UACGUAGGUGGCAAGCGUUGUCCGGAUUUACUGGGCGUAAAGAGCGCGCAGGCGGUCGUUCACGUCGAGUGUGAAAGCCCCCGGCUCAACUGGGGAGGGUCAUUCGAUACUGAUCGACUCGAAGGCAGGAGAGGGUAGUGGAAUUCCCGGUGUAGUGGUGAAAUGCGUAGAUAUCGGGAGGAACACCAGUGGCGAAGGCGACUACCUGGCCUGUUCUUGACGCUGAGGCGCGAAAGCUAGGGGAGCAAACGGG
rnacentral:rRNA from 1 species